UUGGUAUUUAUUUUUGCUUGCAUGGAAUAAGUGCAGAUCUUAUCUUAUGUCUUCACCCACAGCUCUGAAUUCCUAUGUCCUAUAGUAAAGUUGAGACUGGAAAAUAUUGGUACAUUCGAAUCAUCAACCACCUCUGAUUGGAUGAGCUUUGUGUA